rnacentral:rRNA from 1 species
CCUACGGGAGGCAGCAGUGAGGAAUAUUGGUCAAUGGGCGCGAGCCUGAACCAGCCAAGUCGCGUGAGGGAAGACGGUCCUAUGGAUUGUAAACCUCUUUUGUCGGGGAGCAAAAGACGCCACGCGUGGCGUUCCGAGAGUACCCGAAGAAAAAGCAUCGGCUAACUCCGUGCCAGCAGCCGCGGUAAUACGGAGGAUGCGAGCGUUAUCCGGAUUUAUUGGGUUUAAAGGGUGCGCAGGCGGAAGAUCAAGUCAGCGGUAAAAUUGAGAGGCUCAACCUCUGCGAGCCGUUGAAACUGGUUGUCUUGAGUGGGCGAGAGGUAUGCGGAAUGCGUGGUGUAGCGGUGAAAUGCAUAGAUAUCACGCAGAACUCCGAUUGCGAAGGCAGCAUACCGGCGCUCAACUGACGCUCAUGCACGAAAGUGUGGGUAUCGAACAGGAUUAGAUACCCUGGUAGUC